rnacentral:rRNA from 1 species
AGAGUUUGAUCCUGGCUCAGAACGAACGCUGGCGGCAUGCCUAACACAUGCAAGUCGAACGAGACCUUCGGGUCUAGUGGCGCACGGGUGCGUAACGCGUGGGAAUCUGCCCUUAGGUUCGGAAUAACAGUUGGAAACGACUGCUAAUACCGGAUGAUGUCUUCGGACCAAAGAUUUAUCGCCUAGGGAUGAGCCCGCGUCGGAUUAGCUAGUUGGUGGGGUAAAGGCCUACCAAGGCAACGAUCCGUAGCUGGUCUGAGAGGAUGAUCAGCCACACUGGGACUGAGACACGGCCCAGACUCCUACGGGAGGCAGCAGUGGGGAAUAUUGGACAAUGGGCGAAAGCCUGAUCCAGCAAUGCCGCGUGAGUGAUGAAGGCCUUAGGGUUGUAAAGCUCUUUUACCCGGGAUGAUAAUGACAGUACCGGGAGAAUAAGCCCCGGCUAACUCCGUGCCAGCAGCCGCGGUAAUACGGAGGGGGCUAGCGUUGUUCGGAAUUACUGGGCGUAAAGCGUACGUAGGCGGCUUUGUAAGUUAGAGGUGAAAGCCCGGGGCUCAACUCCGGAAUUGCCUUUAAGACUGCAUCGCUAGAAUCAUGGAGAGGUUAGUGGAAUUCCGAGUGUAGAGGUGAAAUUCGUAGAUAUUCGGAAGAACACCAGUGGCGAAGGCGACUAACUGGACAUGUAUUGACGCUGAGGUACGAAAGCGUGGGGAGCAAACAGGAUUAGAUACCCCAGUAGUCC